rnacentral:rRNA from 1 species
CCUACGGGUGGCAGCAGUAGGGAAUCUUCCGCAAUGGGCGAAAGCCUGACGGAGCAACGCCGCGUGAGUGAUGAAGGUCUUAGGAUCGUAAAACUCUGUUGUUAGGGAAGAACAAAUUUGUUAGUAACUGAACAAGUCUUGACGGUACCUAACCAGAAAGCCACGGCUAACUACGUGCCAGCAGCCGCGGUAAUACGUAGGUGGCAAGCGUUAUCCGGAAUUAUUGGGCGUAAAGCGCGCGUAGGCGGUUCCUUAAGUCUGAUGUGAAAGCCCACGGCUCAACCGUGGAGGGUCAUUGGAAACUGGGGAACUUGAGUGCAGAAGAGGAGAGUGGAAUUCCAUGUGUAGCGGUGAAAUGCGCAGAGAUAUGGAGGAACACCAGUGGCGAAGGCGGCUCUCUGGUCUGUAACUGACGCUGAUGUGCGAAAGCGUGGGGAU